AUGGUGCCUUUAGCUGCUUCAAACAGAGGCCGAUCCCUUCUAGAUUUCAUCUGCUCUUGCGCCCAUAGAGAUUUGCUGCUUUCGGUUUUCUCCUCUGGAAAUCUGCAGUACGGAGGGCAGCGAGAGGUUCGCUGGUGCAGCGCACAGGAGACCACGUCCGGGGGCAGCAGCUGCAGCCAGACCCCAAGUCGGGCCAUCCCCGCCACUCGCCGGGUGGUGCUCGGCGACGGCGUGCAGCUCCCGCCCGGGGACUACAGCACGACCCCCGGCGGCACACUCUUCAGCACCACCCCGGGAGGUACCAGGAUCAUCUAUGACCGGAAAUUCCUGAUGGAGUGUCGGAACUCACCUGUGACCAAAACACCCCCGAAGGAUCUGCCUGCCAUUCCCGGGGUCACCAGCGCUUCCAGUGAUGAGCCCCCCACGGAAGCCAGCCAGAGCCACCUGCGUAAUAGCCCAGAAGAUAAGCGGGCAGGCGGUGAAGAGUCACAGUUUGAGAUGGACAUUUAAAGCACCAGCCCCUCAGGGCCUUCCUGGGAGGAGUCCCACCAGCCAGGCCUUAUGAAAGUGAUCAUACUGGGCAGGCGUUGGCGUGGGGUCGGUCACCCCAGCCCUUUCUCCCUCACUCAGGGCACCUGCCCCCUCCUCUUUGUGAACACCAGCAGAUACCUCCUUGUGCCUCCACUGAUGCAGGAGCUGCCGCCCCAAGGGGAGUGACCCCUGCCAGCACACCCUGCAGCUGAGGGCCAGGAAGUGGACAAGAACAAACCCUUCCUUCCAAAUGAUGAGCAAUUCCAGCCUCUCGCUGCUGGGGGCACAACCACCCCUUCCUUAUGUUGAUGUGCCUGGGAAAGUUCCCUCUCCCUCCUUCCCUAAGAGAGGAAAUAAAAGCCACCUUCGCCCUAGGGCCAAGAAAAAAAAAAAA